rnacentral:rRNA from 1 species
ACGAACGCUGGCGGCGUGCUUAACACAUGCAAGUCGAACGGGCCCGCUCUCUUUUUUGGGGGUGGGUUGAGUGGCGAACGGGUGAGUAUCACGUGAGUAACCUGCCCCCUGCUCCUGGAUAACUGCUUGAAAGGGCGGCUAAUACGGGGUGUGCCGGCUGGUCCGCAUGGGCCUGGUCGGGAUAGUUUCAUCUUCGGGUGUUUCGGUGGGGGAUGGGCUCGCGGCCUAUCAGCUUGUUGGUGGGGUGAUGGUCCACCAAGGCGGUGACGGGUAGCCGGCCUGAGAGGGUGGGCGGCCAAACUGGGACUGAGACACGGCCCAGACUCCUGCGGGAGGCAGCAGUGGGGGGUAUUGCACAAUGGGCGGAAGCCUGAUGCAGCGACGUCGCGUGAGGGAUGGAGGCCUUCGGGUUGUGAACCUCUUUCUCCGGUGGUGAAGGCCCUGUCCGUUGCGGCGGGGUUGACGGUAGCCGGGUAUGAAGCGCCGGCUAACUACGUG